rnacentral:lncRNA from 1 species
GCUUAUUUUGACGCUCUCUGUCUCUUCUCCUCCUCCUCUCUCUCUCUCUCUCUCUCUCUCUCACACACACACACUCUCCCUCUUUCUCUUUAUGUGUGUGUGUGUGUGUGUGUGUGUGUGCCUGUCUCUUUUGCACGGUGUUCUUGUGUGUUCCUCGGACUGAAACGGAUAAAGGCAGGGGGAGUGAGAGAGAAGAAGAGAGAGAGAAGUGCGAGAGAAAGGGGAGGAGGAAUAUAUACGUAAAAUGUGGAAGAGGAUGGACGUACGCGUGUGUUUGUGAGUGCGUGUGUUUGUCACCAGUAAAAUAAUAAUAAUGAUCAGCACCUGGGAUUAAACUCCAAAGUGUGUGAGUGUGUGUGUACAGUAUUUGGGCCCAUGUUUACAGUAUCCACGUGUUUACUUCUGUGCGUAAAUCUAAAACGCAGUGCAGAAGAAAUCCCAACUACUCACCAGGAGAAAAAAGAGAGAGACCCGGAUGGUCGGAAAGGAAAUGCUUGGUCUUAAAAGAGGGGGAAAGUGUGAAUCAGAUGUAACAGAGCGUUUGCAGCUCAAGAGGAACUCCUAAUUCAUUCUGUCAAGUUUGAGAGGAUGUGUGUGUUUGUCACAAUGUGAUGAUGCCAUUUUAAAAAUGCCAGCGUGUGAAAUAAUUAGCUGCUAAGUUGGUGAAGUUUCUGACAAAGUUGAAACCUGUUGCUUAUAUGCACCCAACAUAACAGCAACCUGAUAACAUCCCCCAUGCGCCCCUUGCAGCAUUUCAUCCCAGCGUAAUCCUCCCCAUCUCCAAAAAUGUAAACACAGCAACACUGAGCAGAUCUGCACAAACAAACUGAAUUUAAUUACUUUGUUCAUUUAUUAAAUUCAGAUAGGUUUUAAUAGACAUCCCAACAGUGUGAUUAUGUCAACAUAUGGGAGGCCAUGCAUGCAGCAAGGCCCGGGCUUACAUACCUGAUAACGCCUGGGCUUUUCAGCAAUAUUUACGGCUUCUCUUUCUAAUACACUCCAGAUGGUGUGUGAGUGUGCCACCGCAGCCAGCGAGCCUCUCCAUUUUUUUUUUUUUUUUUUUUACUCAGCAGCAUUUUGUUGCAAUUACAUCAACGCUCAGACCCAAUUUAUUGCUGACCCAUUUUAGGAGCAUUAUAUGUAAAAUUUUGAAAAAAAUGAUUCAUAUGUGGAGGGAAAAAAGUUUGGCUUUACUUUACCGUUUCUUCACACUGAACUCUAAACUUUAAAAAGAAAACAAGGGGGAAAAGAAAUCCCAUUAAAAUAUAUUGCUCAAAUAGUCCUCAUUCCAUGGUGUGAUGGAUUAAUAUGUUAUGGAGACAAAACACACAGGCCGCAUUCAUGCCUGACCAAUCUUUGUUGUAGCCUGUGCGCUUUUUUUCAGCCAGUCACUCAGGCAGAAUAAUGCCUGUAAAGAUAUAAUCCACUGAGCCUAUGGCCUCUGUAGUCCUCUGCUAUAUUAUCCACUGACAAUGGAUUUGGAAAGCUUUUUAAGCAAGUAACCAAACUCUCCACUAAACACAUGAGAAUGCCAAGGAUUUGGUUAAUGGACUAAUUCCCUUCAUGUUUUAUUAGCUUAGUGAUAAAACUAGUGUGUUAUUUUUUGUUGUUGUAGAAAUAGUAAAUUUUAGGAAGUUUUAAUCAAUUAAUUUAAAACCUGCUACUUAAAAAUUAUGGGUUAGAAAUUAGUCCAAUUUGCAUAAAUUUGCAUAAAGUGUGACUCAUGAUGCUGUUGCACACCGGUGCGUAAAAGACUGAGGACAUCUAUCUAUCAAUCUAUAUAUUAAUCUCUUCACUUUGAUCUCAUCAGUGGGGUGUUACGGGUGUUUUGUUGCAGCUCAGGUUGUUGCUCUCUGUGUUUACCUGCGCUGCUCUCAGACAGGAGGCUGCUGUAGGUCUAUUAUGAUUGACUGAAACCAUGCAUUGAAGGGUAUUUUUCAUCUGUGCCACGGGGAACCGCUCCUUACAGUCCUCAGGUUUCCCUCUCUCUCUCUCUCUCGUUGAUAAAUACAUGUCUUUUUUCCAUCUUACUCAGCACCAUCCAUCAAAUUUGUAUGUCCAUGUUCCACUGCUGUUAUAGAGGGAGGAAGGGAGGGGGGGUUGAAACAGAAGCUCUAAAUCUUCAGCAGUGGAUAAACGUCUCUCCAUCUCUGCAUACUCCAUAAUGAGUUGAUCAUUGGCGGCUGUGUUCUGCUCAUAUUAGCGCACUGAACGGUCAGACUAUGCCAGAGUCAGAGAUUUCAGAGUGGUCUUCCUCUAUGCUCCGUGGGUUAAUAACCUCUUCACGCGCUAUAACCACUGUGUUUUGAUCCCGGUAAUACGUUGGAUGGAGUAUUUCUCUGGCUUGCUCACGGCUUUGGACCACUCUACACAAGACCAGUCGCCCUGUGGUUGCAAACUCUUUGUGGCCCCACAUACCGCCGCUGUGAUUAUAGAAGUGGCUCCUCUCCCUUGUUAAAGGAGCAAAGGCUCUAAUCUAGCCUCUGUGUCGCCCCCAAAGCCAGCGUGCUAUAGUGGAAAUGCGCGUAAAGGAGUGAGUGGGGGUCGGUCGAAGCGAGAGGAGAAGAGGGGAAGAGGGGAAGGAGAGGGGGGGAGUAUAACGGAGUAGCCCUUUCCCU